UUGAGAGGGUCUGGGAUCCAAUUUUAGUUCCAGGAGCACCUAAGCAGAUGAGCUCUUACUUUUUAAAUGAUUAUGAAACAUGGGUGUCUUUUGGUACAAAUCCACUUUAUGCAAUUCUCCAUGAGUCAAUUUACUGUCGGGGUGCUGCGUCGCUGUGGUCUGCUCACAGAGUAAGGGCUGACCAUGAUAACAAGUUCGAUGCAAUCAAGGCUGCAAAAGAAGGACGUUCCGUACUUUUUACGGGGGAGGUAAUACUAUAGUACUUUCUAGAUGACUAUAACUACGAACUUACAUUAAAACAUUUAAGUUUAUUUGAUAAAUAAUCAGUAGGUUUGAAGUGAAGAUCUGUC